UACGUAGGGGGCAAGCGUUGUCCGGAUUUAUUGGGCGUAAAGAGCGUGUAGGCGGCCAGGUAGGUCUGCUGUGAAAACUCGAGGCUCAACCUCGAGACGUCGGCGGAAACCAUCUGGCUAGAGUCCGGAAGAGGAGAGUGGAAUUCCUGGUGUAGCGGUGAAAUGCGCAGAUAUCAGGAAGAACACCCGUGGCGAAGGCGGCUCUCUGGGACGGUACUGACGCUGAGACGCGAAAGCUAGGGGAGCAAACAGG
rnacentral:rRNA from 1 species